AGGAUGGAAACAGAAUUAGCAUUGGUGAUGGAGGUAGUCCUGUUAUCACAGGCAAUGGCAUUGGGAACAAUUUCAAGCCUUCUUCAGGAGAUAGUGGCAACACCAUUCGGAUUGGUGAUGGUGGAAGCCCCAAGAUAGAAGGCAACGGCAUCGGGAACAGCUUUGCAGCAGCUCCAGGAAAUAGCGGCAGCUUUAAUGGAAACUCGGCUGGUGAUAAUAGCUUUAAUGACAAUGGCAAUACAGAUAAUGAAAUACCUGUCAUUCUCUAUUAAAAGGCCCAGACCCAUAGAUGUCCAAGCCCCCUCCCAGUUGAUGCAUUUCAGCACUUUCCCACCAUUUGUUAUUGAAUAAUUUCUCAAGGAGAUUGCCUUUGGUCACUACAGUUUCCUCCCAGCCUCCUUUGCAAAUAAAUAAACACAUUUUCUGAAGACAUCAAAA